UACGGAGGAUCCGAGCGUUAUCCGGAUUUAUUGGGUUUAAAGGGUGCGUAGGCGGCCUUGUAAGUCAGGGGUGAAAGACGGUAGCUUAACUAUCGCAGUGCCUUUGAUACUGCAGGGCUUGAAUGUACUUGAGGUAGGCGGAAUGUGACAAGUAGCGGUGAAAUGCAUAGAUAUGUCGCAGAACACCAAUUGCGAAGGCAGCUUACUAAAGUAUGAUUGACGCUGAGGCACGAAAGCGUGGGGAUCAAACAGG
rnacentral:rRNA from 1 species